AGAGUUUGAUCCUGGCUCAGGAUGAACGCUGGCGGCGUGCUUAACACAUGCAAGUCGAACGAACCUUCGGGUUAGUGGCGGACGGGUGAGUAACGCGUGAGAAUCUGCCCUCAGGAGGGGGAUAACGGUUGGAAACGACCGCUAAUACCCCAUAUGCCUAUUGGUGAAAUGAAUUUCGCCUGAGGAUGAGCUCGCGUCUGAUUAGCUAGUUGGUGAGGUAAUGGCUCACCAAGGCUUCGAUCAGUAGCUGGUCUGAGAGGAUGAUCAGCCACACUGGGACUGAGACACGGCCCAGACUCCUACGGGAGGCAGCAGUGGGGAAUUUUCCGCAAUGGGCGAAAGCCUGACGGAGCAACGCCGCGUGAGGGACGAAGGCCUCUGGGCUGUAAACCUCUUUUCUCAAGGAAGAAGAUAUGACGGUACUUGAGGAAUAAGCCACGGCUAAUUCCGUGCCAGCAGCCGCGGUAAUACGGGAGUGGCAAGCGUUAUCCGGAAUUAUUGGGCGUAAAGCGUCCGCAGGCGGCUUUUCAAGUCUGCUGUUAAAGCGCGGAGCUUAACUCCAUCAUGGCAGUGGAAACUGAAAGGCUUGAGUAUGGUAGGGGCAGAGGGAAUUCCCGGUGUAGCGGUGAAAUG
rnacentral:rRNA from 1 species